rnacentral:rRNA from 1 species
CCUACUGGAGGCAGCAGUGGGGAAUAUUGGGCAAUGGGCGCAAGCCUGACCCAGCAAUGCCGCGUGAAGGAAGAAGGCUUUCGGGUUGUAAACUUCUUUGACAGGGGAAGAGCAGAAGACGGUACCCUGAAAACAAGCCACGGCUAACUACGUGCCAGCAGCCGCGGUAAUACGUAGGUGGCAAGCGUUGUCCGGAUUUACUGGGUGUAAAGGGCGUGUAGCCGGGAAGGCAAGUCAGAUGUGAAAUCUGGAGGCUCAACCUCCAAAUUGCAUUUGAAACUGUUUUUCUUGAGUACCGGAGAGGUCAUCGGAAUUCCUUGUGUAGCGGUGAAAUGCGUAGAUAUAAGGAAGAACACCAGUGGCGAAGGCGGAUGACUGGACGGCAACUGACGGUGAGGCGCGAAAGCGUGGGGAGCAAACAGGAUUAGAUACCCCAGUAGUC